UAAGGAAUAUUGGUCAAUGGACGCAAGUCUGAACCAGCCAUGCCGCGUGGAGGAUGAAGGUCCUCUGGAUUGUAAACUUCUUUUAUCUGGGACGAAACACUUCUUUUCUAAGAGGCCUGACGGUACCAGAUGAAUAAGCAUCGGCUAACUUCGUGCCAGCAGCCGCGGUAAGACGAAGGAUGCAAGCGUUAUCCGGAUUCAUUGGGUUUAAAGGGUGCGUAGGCGGGCUUGUAAGUCAGUGGUGAAAUCUCUCAGCUUAACUGAGAAACUGCCAUUGAUACUGCAGGCCUAGAGUAUAGAUGACGUUGGCGGAAUAUGACAUGUAGUGGUGAAAUACUUAGAUAUGUCAUAGAACACCGAUUGCGAAGGCAGCUAACGAAACUAUAACUGACGCUGAGGCACGAAAGUGCGGGGAUCAAACA
rnacentral:rRNA from 1 species